GUGGAUUAGAUACCCUAGUAGUCCACGCCGUAAACGGUGGGUACUAGGUGUGGGGGACAUUCCACGUUCUCCGUGCCGCAGCUAACGCAUUAAGUACCCCGCCUGGGGAGUACGGCCGCAAGGCUAAAACUCAAAGGAAUUGACGGGGCCCCGCACAAGCGGCGGAGCAUGCGGAUUAAUUCGAUGCAACGCGAAGAACCUUACCUGGGUUUGACAUAUGCCGGAAACAUCUAGAGAUAGGUGCCCCUUUUUGGUCGGUAUACAGGUGGUGCACGGCCGUCGCCAGCU
rnacentral:rRNA from 1 species